AUUGAACGCUGGCGGCAUGCUUUCCAAAGGCAAGUCGAACGGCGGCGCGGGCUUGGGCUUGGCGGCAGGUGCCGAACGGGGGAGUAAGCCAUCGGAACGUGCCCGGUGGUGGGGGCUGGCCGGGGGAAGGCGGGAUUAUUACGGAAUCAGCCCUGAGGGUGAAGGGGGGGAACGGAAAGGCCUCGCGCAUUGGAACCGGCCGAUGUCGGAUUAGCUAGUUGGUGGGGUAAAGGCUUACCAAGGCGACGAUCCGUAGCUGGUCUGAGAGGACGACCAGCAACACUGGGACUGAGACACGGCCCAGACUCCUACGGGAGGCAGCAGUGGGGAAUUUUGGACAAUGGGGGCAACCCUGAUCCAGCCAUGCCGCGUGCGGGAAGAAGGCCUUCGGGUUGUAAACCGCUUUUGUUCGGGAAGAAAUCCUCUGGGCUAAUACCCCGGGGGGAUGACGGUACCGGAAGAAUAAGCACCGGCUAACUACGUG
rnacentral:rRNA from 1 species